UACGAAGGGGGCUAGCGUUGUUCGGAAUCACUGGGCGUAAAGCGCACGUAGGCGGAUCUUUAAGUCAGGGGUGAAAUCCCGAGGCUCAACCUCGGAACUGCCUUUGAUACUGGGAUCUCGAGUCCGGGAGAGGUGAGUGGAACUGCGAGUGUAGAGGUGAAAUUCGUAGAUAUUCGCAAGAACACCAGUGGCGAAGGCGGCUCACUGGCCCGAUACUGACGUC
rnacentral:rRNA from 1 species